rnacentral:rRNA from 1 species
CCUACGGGAGGCAGCAGUGAGGAAUAUUGGUCAAUGGACGAGAGUCUGAACCAGCCAAGUAGCGUGAAGGAUGACUGCCCUAUGGGUGGUAAACUUCUUUUAUAUGGGAAUAAAAUGUUCCACGUGUGGGAUUUUGUAUGUACCAUAUGAAUACGGAUCGGCUAACUCCGUGCCAGCAGCCGCGGUAAUACGGAGGCUCCGAGCGUUAUCCGGAUUUAUUGGGGUUAAAGGGAGCGUAGGUGGAGUGUUAAGUCAGUAGUGAAAGUUUGCGGCUCAACCGUAAAAUUGCAGUUGAAACUGGCAGUCUUGAGUACAGUAGAGGUGGGCGGAAUUCGUGGUGUAGCGGUGAAAUGCUUAGAUAUCACGAAGAACUCCGAUUGCGAAGGCAGCUCACUGGACUGCAACUGACACUGAGGCUCGAAAGUGUGGGUAUCAAACAGGAUUAGAUACCCGGGUAGUC